UAUGUGAUUAUUCCUACCAUAUGAAAUCUACACUAUAAAGUUCAUCACCUCCUCUUGUUCUCAUCAAAUAGACUUAUUAGACUCAUCACAUAUCUAAGAUUGACGUUGUUCACACUUUAUAAUUAUGUUUUGUUGUGUUGGCAUCUUCUCUUGGUUCUAACUUUUUUGUGCUUCUUUUGUAUAUGGUACGUAGAUCCAUGAGUCAAACAUCAAAAUCCUAUUCACGGACCGUCGUUACAGAUCUAGUCAUAUGGAAGUCAUUGACCAUGUCUUAUAUUUCUUCUCCCUCUCUUUUAUGCUUUGCCCGAUCCUUUGUCCAAACUAUGGACAAUAAACAUCGUCAACAACCGUGAUUUCCCUGAUUAAUUAAAUAAGUUGUUAAAGCUCCUCCAAUUAAUAGCUCAUUUUGGAGUGGCAAGCAUUUGUUCAGCAUGCCCUUUCCUUCAGAUUUGGACUAUUCUUUGCCUUUUGAGUCUCGUGGAACAUCUUCAAGGAAACCCUAAACUUUUUGUAUGCGGCAGCACAUAAAGUUUAGUGUGAGUGACUGUCUAUGACAAGUGUUUUUGUCAUGGAGGUUUUCCAAUGUCAACGUGGAUCCGAAAACAACCAUGUUGGGAACGAGGUUCAACAUUGUCACGAACGCAAGUCCUCCAAUUUCAACGACCUUUGUUCUCGUAUCUCUCUUGUUGAACUUGUGCUGGAAUUUGUUAUGCGAGGAGGAUUAUGAAGAUUGGGAAGCUGCACUUGUGUGUUCACAAGUAUCAUCUAAGGUGCAUCAAACAGUGGCUUGUGCACUAGAACCAAUGCCCAGCGUGCAAAAGAGUUCAAUCCAUAGGUUGAGCCCAAGACAUGACAAAUUUAAUUAUUGUGAUUUCCUUGAUUAAUUAGUGUGUUAGGCCUUGCAAUCCCAAGAGACGAAAUUGCAUGGGAACUCUAGUUCAGAAUAAAAAUCUAGACUUUUCUAUUACUUUCCUAUAUAUUAUCUUAUUUGUAAUUUCAGUCUGUAGGCCUCCAUUAAUUGCUUCUUGUGUUGUUAAAAUAUUCGAUGUAUGGAGAUUGUAUCAAAAGGUUUUAAGAUCUCCAACUCAAUUAAUCUCUAUAAAUAUAUUCCAUUGAGAGAAAUGGCCUGCA